AUGGGGUCCACGAAGGUCCCAUCUGACAAUCCCGGAGGCAAUCCGGAGAUCGUACCAGAGGACGAGCAACAUGCUCAACGACAGCUGAAGGCUGGCGAGCGUGUGCUUACAAAGGUUAUACGGGAGAAAAAUAAUCUCCAGGACGUGAACACCCGACUGGACGUCGAAUUAAAGGAUGUUCGGGCCCAGCUUGCUGACUCCGUGAAGGAGAAUAAGAGGCUUCAACGCGGCAUUUUUAGUAUGUUGACAGGUCGUCCCGAAGAGGAGAUGCCCGGAUCUGCAGGCGAUCUUCUGCAGGAGCUCUCACAACUGCACGAACAAGUUCGGCAGGUGAUGUAG
rnacentral:rRNA from 1 species